CUUGACCUCAAAUCAGGUAGGAC
rnacentral:rRNA from 1 species